rnacentral:rRNA from 1 species
CCUACGGGGGGCAGCAGUGGGGAAUAUUGGGCAAUGGGCGCAAGCCUGACCCAGCAACGCCGCGUGAAGGAAGAAGGCCCUCGGGUUGUAAACUUCUUUUAUCAGGGACGAAACCAAUGACGGUACCUGAUGACUAAGCCACGGCUAACUACGUGCCCGCAGCCGCGUUAAUACGUAGGUGGCAAGCGUUAUCCGGGUUUACUGGGUGUAAAGGGCGUGUAGGCGGGAGAGCAAGGCAGACGUGAAAUUCCAGGGCUCAAACCUGGAACUGCGGUUGAAACUGUUCGUCUUGAGUGAUGGAGAGGCAGGCGGAAUACCGGGUGUAGCGGUGAAAUGCGUAGAUAUACGGAGGAACACCAGUGGCGAAGGCGGCCUGCUGGACAUUAACUGACGCUGAGGCGCGAAAGCGUGGGGAGCAAACAGGAUUAGAUACCCUUGUAGUC